rnacentral:tRNA from 1 species
UCCGGAGUGGCUCAAUGGUAGAGCAGUCGGCUGUUAACCGACGGGUUACAAGUUCGAAUCUUGUCUCCGGAGCCA